rnacentral:rRNA from 1 species
GGCCCUUUCGGGGUACUCGAGCGGCGAACGGGUGAGUAACACGUGAGUAAUCUGCCCUGCGCUCUGGGAUAGCCACCGGAAACGGUGAUUAAUACCGGAUAGGACCACUUCACGCAUGUGAUGGUGGUGGAAAGUUUUUUCGGCGCAGGAUGUGCUCGCGGCCUAUCAGCUUGUUGGUGAGGUAACGGCUCACCAAGGCUUUGACGGGUAACCGGCCUGAGAGGGUGACCGGUCACACUGGGACUGAGACACGGCCCAGACUCCUACGGGAGGCAGCAGUGGGGAAUAUUGGACAAUGGGCGGAAGCCUGAUCCAGCAACGCCGCGUGAGGGAUGACGGCCUUCGGGUUGUAAACCUCUUUCAGUACCGACGAAGCGAAAGUGACGGUAGGUACAGAAGAAGGACCGGCCAACUACGCGCCAGCAGCCGCGGUAAUACGUAGGGUCCGAGCGUUGUCCGGAAUUAUUGGGCGUAAAGGGCUCGUAGGCGGUUUGUCGCGUCGGGAGUGAAAACACCGGGCUUAACUCGGUGCUUGCUUUCGAUACGGGCAGACUAGAGGUAUGCAGGGGAGAAUGGAAUUCCUGGUGUAGCGGUGAAAUGCGCAGAUAUCAGGAGGAACACCGGUGGCGAAGGCGGUUCUCUGGGCAUUACCUGACGCUGAGGAGCGAAAGUGUGGGGAGCGAACAGGAUUAGAUACCCUGGUAGUCCACACCGUAAACGUUGGGCGCUAGGUGUGGGGCCUAUUCCAUGGGUUCCGUGCCGUAGCUAACGCAUUAAGCGCCCCGCCUGGGGAGUACGG